rnacentral:rRNA from 1 species
CACGUAGGGGGCAAGCGUUGUCCGGAUUCAUUGGGCGUAAAGAGCUCGUAGGCGGUUCGAUAAGUCGGGUGUGAAACCUCCAGGCUCAACCUGGAGACGCCACCCGAUACUGUCGUGACUAGAGUCCAGUAGGGGAGCGUGGAAUUCCUGGUGUAGCGGUGAAAUGCGCAGAUAUCAGGAGGAACACCAGCGGCGAAGGCGGCGCUCUGGGCUGGAACUGACGCUGAGGAGCGAAAGCGUGGGGAGCGAACGGG